rnacentral:rRNA from 1 species
CUACGGGAGGCAGCAGUGGCGAAUACUGCACAAUGGGGGCAACCCUGAUGCAGCGACGGCGCGUGCGGGAUGACGGCCUUCGGGUUGUAAACCGCUUUCAGUAGGGAAGAAGCGAAAGUGACGGUACCUGCAGAAGAAGUACCGGCUAACUACGUGCCAGCAGCCGCGGUAAUACGUAGGGUACAAGCGUUGUCCGGAAUUAUUGGGCGUAAAGAGCUCGUAGGUGGUUGGUCACGUCUGCUGUGGAAACGCAACGCUUAACGUUGCGCGUGCAGUGGGUACGGGCUGACUAGAGUGCAGUAGGGGAGUCUGGAAUUCCUGGUGUAGCGGUGAAAUGCGCAGAUAUCAGGAGGAACACCGGUGGCGAAGGCGGGACUUUGGGCUGUAACUUACGCUGAGGAGCGAAAGCAUGGGGAGCGAACAGGAUUAGAUACCAUGGUAGUCCAGACCGUAAACGUUGGGAACUAGGUGUGGGGUCCAUUCCACGGAUUCCGUGCCGUAGCUAACGCAUUAAGUUCCCCGCCUGGGGAGUGCGGCAGCAAGGCUAAAAUUCAAAGGAAUUGACGGGGGCCCGCACAAGCGGCGGAGCAUGCGGAUUAAUUCGAUGCAACGCGGAGAACCUUACCAAGGCUUGACAUACACUGGAAACGGCUAGAGAUAGUCGCCUCUUCGGACUGGUGUACAGGUGGUGCAUGGCUGUCGUCAGCUC